CCCUCGAUAGCCGGCAGCCUGCGUUCGGGGCAGAUAAGGAAGCCGGCGCACUGAUUUGUGGUUGUUGCGAUUGAGGCUGGAAUGCAACCGUUCGUCUUAUAGCUGGCCACUGUGAUGAACCCCUCACGGGUGUACAGCGACCAACAGACUGUGUUCUAUGAGGUCUGUUAGUCCCUAACCUUAGGGACGUAGCGUCGGCCAGGUCUGUAGACUUAGACCCACCCACCCCAACUCCGCCGGGACAGACGCCCUCCGUGACCAAACUUUAGUCGGGCUCCUUUGAGGCCUUUUCUAUACUAGACGGCAUCCUCGGCCUGCUGAGCCUGGUUUUACCAAAGAAUCCUGCUAAGCCUGUUUAUCAAGAGAGACCUCACUGUUGAUGCUCUCUUCUAAGG
rnacentral:lncRNA from 10 species